UGUAAAUUAACACCAUCCUCACCAUUUAUCACUACCAUCACGACAUCCAUAAAUAACAUCUCGAAAUCUGCUGUCGAUAGUUCCAAAAAAACGUAAGUAUCAACAUCAAUACUCUUUAAUUCGUUCAUUCGGAGGUAGAGGCAAAAAAUUUGUUAGAUCUCGAUAUGGAGUUGGAGGCGGAGAAGAGAGACACUAUUCAUGGUUAAUCAGAAUAAAGCAAACAAAAAUAUCAAACAAGAGAAUGAAUCAAUAUAAGUUGAAUGAUUCAAUAGAUUCACGCAUCAGCAGAGCUCGACAAAGAAUGUCACACCCCAAGAAUCGAAGGCGGAAACAUUUCCUGGGUUGACUCCACGUUGAGUAUCAAAUCCAAUGCACAUAGAACAAAUGAUCUUCGGGUACCUGUUCUAACGAUGACCUGAGAACACAAGCGGUUUGAAAAUCAGCAUAACGCUGGUGAGUUCAUAAGCGGUUUGUGUUUUGUACAAAUGUUUAUGUUUCCUUUUCGUUUCUGAAAAUGUUACACACACCAAGAAAAUCCCAUAUUUUCUUAAAAAGGUUGGUUUUUGUUCUCAACAUGUAAAGUAUAGUUGUACAAUGAAAAAACGUUUACUCUUGUGAAAAUGUACCAAUGUAUCCCCAGGAAAGUCACAUACUUUCCUGAUUGUGUUUUACCAAUUGUAAAAGAUGUAAAGUUACCCGGUUUGUUACACUUUUCUAGUUAUGUAAACGUUCCCCAAGAAAGCCCCAUGCUUUCCUAAAUGUUGGUUAUCAAUGUAAAAGAUGUAUUCUGAAACCUGGUUAUCUUGUAAAAUGUGUUAAGUUAUUCAUUAUUACUAUUAAGUAAAUCUCUGUUAUCCUAAUUGCGAGUUCCAUAACCAUACGAUAGACUAGAUGUGGCAAUAAGUAGUCCACAUCACCUUAUGACUUUCUUCACCCUUGAACCAUUUAUGUUCGGCUGUAGCUAGCAGCCAGGUGUGGGGUAGUCAGCCCCGUAUAGAUCUAUACACUCAAGUCACGCUCUCUAAUCCCAGAGAUUCUGGUUACGGGUGUAGUCCUCCACUCGCGUAUCUAUGCGGAGUGUUCACCGAGGACGUGUCUCCAAUUAUACAGGACUAACAAAUUUACUAGUAAUAAUAUGAUAGUCCUCCACUCGCGUAUCUCUGUGGAGUGUUACCGAGGACAAAACAGUGUACAAGUUUUAUGUUUCAAAUGUUCUAAUGUCAUGCUUUUAACUGAUAAAAUGUGGAAAUUAUUUGUGAAAUGUAUAAAACACAACAGUUUAUAAACCCAUUUCACAUAUAUAUGUUUACGCGAUCUGCAUGUUCAAACAGUUAUCAGUUAUAUCAAUCAGUGUUAAAAGCAUAUAAAAUGUGAAACACACACACGAAAACAAGUUUUGAGUACAAGUAAUCCCUUGUGCUUUGCUUGUGUUCCCCCUAAAAAUAGUGAAAAACAGUGAAAAAGGGUAGGGGUAUGAACUCACCGCUUAAUGUAGAGAUCGAGUGGCAACGGAUGCCCUUAACUCCUAUGGCCCCUAUUUUUCA